rnacentral:tRNA from 1 species
GCCGAGGUGGCUUAGUCUGGUUAUAGCGCUCGGCUCAUACGGAUAUUCCCAAGGUUUCUCCUUGGGUCCUGGGAAACCGAGAGGUCGAGGGUUCAAAUCCCUCCCUCGGCACCA